rnacentral:rRNA from 1 species
GACAGAGGUGCCGAGCGUUAGGCGGAAUCACUGGGCUUAAAGCGUGUGUAGGCGGGUCGUUAAGUACCUUGUGAAAUCCCCCCGGCUCAACCGGGGAAUGGCUGGGUAUACUGGCGAUCUUGAGCGAUCCAGGGGCAGAUGGAACAAGUGGUGGAGCGGUGAAAAUGCGUAGAUAUCACUUGGAACGCCAAAGGUGAAGACAGUCUGCUGGGGAUCUGCUGACGCUGAGACACGAAAGCCAGGGAGCGAACGGG